GGUAUUGACAGAUAUUGAAAGGUAUUGACAGAUAUUAAAAGGCAUUGACAGAUAUUAAAAGGUAUUGAAAAGGUAUUGACAGAUAUUAAAAGGCAUUGACAGAUAUUAAAAGGUAUUGACAGAUAUUAAAAGGUAUUGACAGAUAUUAAAAGGCAUUGACAGAUAUUAAAAGGCAUUGACAGGUAUUAAAAGGCAUUGACAGGUAUUAAAAGGCAUUGACAGGUAUUAAAAGGCAUUGACAGAUAUUAAAAGGUAUUGACAGAUAUUAAAAGGUAUUGACAGAUAUUAAAAGGUAUUGACAGAUAUUAAAAGGUAUUGACAGGUAUUAAAAGGCAUUGACAGAUAUUAAAAGGUAUUGACAGAUAUUAAAAGGUAUUGACAGAUAUUAAAAGGUAUUGACAGAUAUUGAAAGGUAUUGACAGAUAUUAAAAGGCAUUGACAGGUAUUAAAAGGUAUUGACAGAUAUUAAAAGGUAUUGACAGGUAUUAAAAGGCAUUGACAGAUAUUAAAAGGUAUUGACAGAUAUUAAAAGGCAUUGACAGGUAUUAAAAGGUAUUGACAGAUAUUAAAAGGUAUUGACAGAUAUUAAAAGGUAUUGACAGGUAUUAAAAGGCAUUGACAGAUAUUAAAAGGUAUUGACAGAUAUUAAAAGGUAUUGACAGAUAUUAAAAGGUAUUAAAAGGUAUUGACAGAUAUUAAAAGGUAUUGAACGUUUUAUUACUUAAACUCUUUUCUUUCCAUUUGUAUAAAAUAAUAUACUUUUUUGGAAUAUAGUGUGUUUUGGAACACGCUAUAGCUCAGUAUUUAGAUUUAUUUUAUACUGUCUUUUUCCCCCUCAUCUUUAGCAAAGAGUGCUAAUCAUUUUGGAUCUGACUGUAAGUGUUUCAUAUGAAUGUAUGUAAUGUGGCACGUAUGUUUGCAGUCAUGUCACAGUGAAGAUACGACGAAGUGGUUAAUAUAUGAUAAGUGAUUAACUUAUAGCUUCCAACUAAGCACUUAUCACGAUGAGUGAUUAUUGUAUAAGACAACAGCUUCUGUAGCGUUUGUGCCUUAGCUGAGGAGGAGGUGGGAGACAGUUUGUUUAGAAGCACAGCCUGUUUUUUCAUGCGGUUCUAAGAACACCAGGAGCCUGUUUUUUCAUGCGGUUCUAAGAACACCAGGAGCCUGUUUUUUCAUACGGUUCUAAGAACACCAGGAGCCUGUUUUUUCAUGUGGUUCUAAGAACACCAGGAGCCUGUUUUUUCAUACGGUUCUAAGAACACCAGGAGCCUGUUUUUUCAUGCGGUUCUAAGAACACCAGGAGCCUGUUUUUUCAUACGGUUCUAAGAACACCAGGAGCCUGUUUUUUCAUACGGUUCUAAGAACACCAGGAGCCUGUUUUUUCAUGCGGUUCUAAGAACACCAGGAGCCUGUUUUUU